rnacentral:rRNA from 1 species
GGGAUUAGAUACCCCACUAUGCUUAGCCUUAAACCUAGAUGUUAAACUUACAAGCAACAUCCGCCAGGGUACUACAAGCGCUAGCUUAAAACCCAAAGGACUUGACGGUGUCUCAGACCCACCUAGAGGAGCCUGUUCUAGAACCGAUAAUCCCCGUUAAACCUCACCACCCCUUGUUUUCCCCGCCUAUAUACCGCCGUCGCAAGCUUACCCUGUGAAGGUCCCAUAGUAAGCAAAAUGGGUAUGUCCCAGAACGUCAGGUCGAGGUGUAGCUUACGAGGUGGAAAGAAAUGGGCUACAUUUUCUAAAUCAGAAUAACACGAACGGCACUAUGAAACUAGUACCUGAAGGUGGAUUUAGCAGUAAAAAACAAAUAGAGAGUCUUUUUGAAUCAGGCUCUGAGACGCGCACACACCGCCCC